ensembl:misc_RNA
UUGAUGGUCCUGGAGACUAAAAUACCUUAUUUAUUCAAAGAGCAGAUACAGGAAGAACAGCAGCAGUGGAAGCUUCUCCUCCCUGCUUCACCAGUAUACCUCAACCCUGAUCUACAUUACAAGAUUUUUAAACAGCAAUGAGACAUGUCAAAGUGCUUAACUCCAUUCCAAUAUGAGGAAAAU